rnacentral:rRNA from 1 species
GCGGACGGGUGAGUAAUGGCUGGGAACCUGCCUGGUAGAGGGGGAUAACCACUGGAAACGGUGGCUAAUACCGCAUGAUGUCUUUGGACCAAAGAGGGGGACCUUCGGGCCUCUCGCUACCGGAUGGGCCCAGUUGGGAUUAGCUAGUUGGUGGGGUAAAGGCUCACCAAGGCGACGAUCCCUAGCUGGUUUGAGAGGAUGAUCAGCCACACUGGAACUGAGACACGGUCCAGACUCCUACGGGAGGCAGCAGUGGGGAAUAUUGCACAAUGGGCGCAAGCCUGAUGCAGCCAUGCCGCGUGUGUGAAGAAGGCCUUCGGGUUGUAAAGCACUUUCAGCCGUGAGGAAGGCAUUGUACUUAAUACGUGCAGUGUUUGACGUUAGCGGCAGAAGAAGCACCGGCUAACUCCGUGCCAGCAGCCGCGGUAAUACGGAGGGUGCGAGCGUUAAUCGGAAUUACUGGGCGUAAAGCGCAUGCAGGCGGUCUGUUAAGCAAGAUGUGAAAGCCCCGGGCUUAACCUGGGAACCGCAUUUUGAACUGGCAGGCUAGAGUCUUGUAGAGGGGGGUAGAAUUUCAGGUGUAGCGGUGAAAUGCGUAGAGAUCUGAAGGAAUACCGGUGGCGAAGGCCGCCCCCCUGGACAAAGACUGACGCUCAGAUGCGAAAGCGUGGGGAGCAAAACAGGAUUAGAUACCCUGGUAGUCCACGCCCGUAAACGAUGUCUACUUGG